GAGAUUUUAUUAUAAGACAAAGUAUAGCUGUCUUUCAAACAGUUGGUAAUAAAUCUUA
rnacentral:tRNA from 1 species